AUACGGAGGGGGCAAGCGUUGUUCGGAAUUACUGGGCGUAAAGCGCGCGUAGGCGGUCUGUUUAGUCAGGCGUGAAAUCCCUGGGCUCAACCCGGGAACUGCGUUUAAAACUGGCGGACUAGAGUCCGGGAGAGGGUGGCGGAAUUCCCAGUGUAGAGGUGAAAUUCGUAGAUAUUGGGAAGAACACCAGUGGCGAAGGCGGCUCUCUGGCUCGGUUCUGACGCUGAGGUGCGAAAGCGUGGGGAGCAAACAGGAUUAGAAACCCGAGUAGUCC
rnacentral:rRNA from 1 species